rnacentral:rRNA from 1 species
GAUGAACGCUGGCGGCGUGCCUAAUACAUGCAAGUCGAGCGAACGGACGAGAAGCUUGCUUCUCUGAUGUUAGCGGCGGACGGGUGAGUAACACGUGGAUAACCUACCUAUAAGACUGGGAUAACUUCGGGAAACCGGAGCUAAUACCGGAUAAUAUUUUGAACCGCAUGGUUCAAAAGUGAAAGACGGUCUUGCUGUCACUUAUAGAUGGAUCCGCGCUGCAUUAGCUAGUUGGUAAGGUAACGGCUUACCAAGGCAACGAUGCAUAGCCGACCUGAGAGGGUGAUCGGCCACACUGGAACUGAGACACGGUCCAGACUCCUAAGGGAGGCAGCAGUAGGGAAUCUUCCGCAAUGGGCGAAAGCCUGACGGAGCAAAGCCGCGUGAGUGAUGAAGGUCUUCGGAUCGUAAAACUCUGUUAUUAGGGAAGAACAUAUGUGUAAGUAACUGCGCACAUCUUGACGGUACCUAAUCAGAAAGCCACGGCUAACUACGUG